ACAGGGAUUGCCUCAGUAACGGCGAGUGAAGCGGCAACAGCUCAAAUUUGAAAUCUGGCCCCAGGCCCGAGUUGUAAUUUGCAGAGGAUGCUUUUGGUGCGGUGCCUUCCAAGUUCCCUAGAACGGGACGCCAGAGAGGGUGAGAGCCCCGUACAGUUGGACACCAAGCCUUUGUAAAGCUCCUUCGACGAGUCGAGUAGUUUGGGAAUGCUGCUCAAAAUGGGAGGUAUAUUUCUUCUAAAGCUAAAUACCGGCCAGAGACCGAUAGCGCACAAGUAGAGUGAUCGAAAGAUGAAAAGCACUUUGAAAAGAGGGUUAAACAGCACGUGAAAUUGUUAAAAGGGAAGCGCUUGUGACCAGACUUGCGUCCGGUGAAUCACCCAGCUCUCGCGGCUGGGGCACUUCGCCGGCUCAGGCCAGCAUCAGCUCGCUGUCGGGGACAAAAGCUUCAGGAACGUAGCUCUCUCCGGGGAGUGUUAUAGCCUGUUGCACAAUACCCUUCGGCGGGCUGAGGUACGCGCUCCGCAAGGAUGCUGGCAUAAUGGUCAUCAGCGACCCGUCUUGAAACACGGACCAAGGAGUCAACCUUAUGUGCGAGUGUUCGGGUGUCAAACCCCUACGCGUAAUGAAAGUGAACGCAGGUGAGAGCUUCGGCGCAUCAUCGACCGAUCCUGAUGUUCUCGGAUGGAUUUGAGUAAGAGCAUAUAGGGUUGGACCCGAAAGAAGGUGAACUAUGCGUGUAUAGGGUGAAGCCAGAGGAAACUCUGGUGGAGGCUCGCAGCGGUUCUGACGUGCAAAUCGAUCGUCAAAUAUGCGCAUGGGGGCGAAAGACUAA
rnacentral:rRNA from 1 species